GACGAACGCUGGCGGCGUGCUUAACACAUGCAAGUCGAGCGGUAAGGCCCUUUCGGGGUACGACGAGCGGCGAACGGGUGAGUAACACGUGGGUGACCUGCCCUCAGCUCUGGGAUAAGCCUGGGAAACCGGGUCGUAAUACUGGAUAUGACUCCAUGACGCAUGUUGUGGGGUGGAAAGCCUUGUGCGGCUGAGGAUGGGCCCGCGGCCUAUCAGCUUGUUGGUGGGGUGAUGGCCUACCCAAGGCGACGACGGGUAGCCGGCCUGAGAGGCGACCGGCCACACUGGGACUGAGACACGGCCCAGACUCCUACGGGAGGCAGCAGGUGGGGAAUAUUGGACAA
rnacentral:rRNA from 1 species